rnacentral:rRNA from 1 species
AGCAGCCGCGGUAAUUCCAGCUCCAAUAGCGUAUAUUAAAGUUGUUGCAGUUAAAAAGCUCGUAGUUGAAUUUCGGGAUUUAUCCGUCGGUCGGGCUUUUGGGUCUGUACUGGCGUGAUGGAUUCCUACCUUCUGAAUAACCGGCAUGUCAUUAAUUUGGUGCGCCGGGGAAGCAGGACUGUUACCUUGAAAAAAUUAGAGUGCUUAAAGCAGGCUUAUGCCUGAAUACAUUAGCAUGGAAUAAUGAAAUAGGACGGCAUGGUUCUAUUUUGUUGGUUUCUAGGAUCACCGUAAUGAUUAAUAGGGAUAGUUGGGGGCAUUAGUAUUCAAUUGUCAGAGGUGAAAUUCUUGGAUUUAUUGAAGACUAACUUCUGCGAAAGCAUUUGCCAAGGAUGUUUUCAUUAAUCAAGAACGAAAGUUAGGGGAUCGAAGACGAUCAGAUACCGUCGU